rnacentral:rRNA from 1 species
GGGCGAGUUUGAUCAUGGCUCAGGAUAAACGCUGGCGGCGUGCCUAACACAUGCAAGUCGAACGCCCUUAGCAAUAAGGGAGUGGCGGACGGGUGAGGAACACGUGGGUUAUCUACCUUGGGGUGAGGAAUACCACCGGGAAACCGGUGACAAUACCGCAUACGCUUGGCGACAAGCAAAGCCUUCGGGCGCCACAAGAUGAGCCUGCGGCCGAUUAGCUAGUUGGUGGGGUAAAAGCUCACCAAGGCGACGAUCGGUAACUGGUCUGAGAGGACGGUCAGUCACACUGGGAUUGAGAACGGCCCAGACUCCUACGGGGGGCAGCAGUGAGGAAUUUUCGUCAAUGGGGGAAACCCUGAACGAGCAACGCCGCGUGCAGGAAGACGGUCUUCGGAUUGUAAACUGCUUUUCUCUGGGACGAGAACGGACGGUACCAGAGGAAUCAGCUCCGGCUAACUACGUGCCAGCAGCCGCGGUAAUAA